AGUCCCCGCAAGGGGAUGAGUAAAGUGGCGACCGGGUGAGUAACACGUGACUAACCUACCCUCAAGUGGGGAAUAACCUCGGGAAACCGGGGCUAAUACCGCAUAACAUCGCGAGUUGGAAUACUUGCGAUCAAAGGAGCAAUUCGCUGGAGGAGGGGGUCGCGGCUGAUUAGCUAGUUGGCAGGGUAACGGCCUACCAAGGCGAUGAUCAGUAGCCGGCCUGAGAGGGCGCACGGCCACACUGGAACUGAAACACGGUCCAGACUCCUACGGGAGGCAGCAGUGGGGAAUUUUGCGCAAUGGGGGAAACCCUGACGCAGCAACGCCGCGUGGAGGAUGAAGUCCCUUGGGACGUAAACUCCUUUCGAUCGGGACGAAUAAUGACGGUACCGGAAGAAGAAGCCCCGGCUAACUCCGUGCCAGCAGCCGCGGUAAUACGGGGGGGGCAAGCGUUGUUCGGAAUUAUUGGGCGUAAAGGGCACGUAGGCGGUGUCGCAAGUCCGUGGUGAAAUCUCCAGGCUCAACUUGGAGUCUGCCGCGGAAACUGCGGUGCUGGAGUGUGGGAGAGGUGAGUGGAAUUCCCGGUGUAGCGGUGAAAUG
rnacentral:rRNA from 1 species